rnacentral:rRNA from 1 species
GGGAAGAACAAGUACCGUUCGAAUAGGUCGGUACCUUGACGGUACCUAACCAGAAAGCCACGGCUAACUACGUGCCAGCAGCCGCGGUAAUACGUAGGUGGCAAGCGUUGUCCGGAAUUAUUGGGCGUAAAGCGCGCGCAGGCGGUCCUUUAAGUCUGAUGUGAAAGCCCACGGCUCAACCGUGGAGGGUCAUUGGAAACUGGAGGACUUGAAUACAGGAGAGGAAAGUGGAAUUCCAUGUGUAGCGGUGAAAUGCGUAGAGAUAUGGAGGAACACCAGUGGCGAAGGCGACUUUCUGGCCUGAUAUUGACGCUGAGGCGCGAAAGCGUGGGGAGCAAACAGGAUUAGAUACCCCUGUAGUCCUGUCUCUUAUAC